GACGUCUCCAGGUCCUUCAGCAGCACGGCGAGGUCGGCCUUCUCCUGGCCCGCAUGCAGGAACGCCCGCAGACGACCCACCUCCACCGCCAUACAGUCCAAGGCACUCUGGGUAAACUGCACGUGGACACACAACAGCCUGUUGGCAAUGACGGUACUCACUCUGAUGUGAUCAGCCAGCUGCAUGGUGCAGUCCUCGUUCUGAUCUGCCAGGUGGAUGCUGUACAGGUGCUGAGAUAUAAGUAGAAAUUCACAUACGGUGUUAUUGGUUCGUAUCUGUCCAUAGUUCCGGUGUUUGAUACGGGCUGAAUAACAUCUUUUCAACACUGCCACUAAUGUACUUAGGUGCAAUAGUAUUUACAUGACAUAAACCAAGAGAAACACUUUGGCACUGUGUAGAUUCGUAGCCUGAAAGUGUUAUUUUUCUUCUUGAUAAGUGACUUAAAGGUUCCCUGUGGAGCUUUCUUGUAAACAAACAGAAGUUAUGUUUACAGAAUGUAAACAUAACUUCAUGUCUUUCAUCAGCACUCUGUGAAUUGUAUUGUGAAUUGUGUGUAUCCUUAAGGUCAAACAUUUUCUUCCUCCAUAAAACAUUUGUAAAGAUUAUUUUUUUUUUUUUUUAAUCCUGAAUUGUUUGCAUGCAAUGUUUACUAUCUGACUGUCUUCUUUAUGAAAAAACAAAACAAUAAAUACAUGGGGACAUGGACCUAAAUACCAUAAACA